CCCCUCACUCGUGCCGCCGUCCUUCCCUCGCGCUCGCCGUUCUCCUCGCCCAGAAUCUCUCGCUUUGAGCCAUCGUCGCCGCGACGCCACCAUCGGUCCGGUCCGUCUGGCCACCGCAUCAGCUAACAGUGGCCCUAACCUCCUCCCCGGUAGAUCUGCCCUCGUGGAGGAGAGGGACGCGAGCCACAUCGCCGCCACUUCUUCUCCUCUUUCAUCUUUGCCCGCCACUGCCUCCUUGCCAUCACCAUGUCUGCUUUGCUCGGUGUGGUGCUAGACAAAGCUGGAGCACGUUGACAUAUUAUAACAUCAAACCUUGAAUCUGGCCACCAUAAAAGUGCAGUUAAUACAAGGAACGAAAGCAAUUGUUUCUCAUAUGCAAAUGUUGUGUGAUAAUUUCGCUGGCCUGGAUCCCAGUGUACGGUAAUACACUUUUCCUUUUCUUUGCAUGCCCAACAGAUCGGUUUAGUGCUGAUGAAUGAGACUUUGAUUAAAGUGUAGCCACAAACAUGUUUCUUCCUUGAGCAAAGAGAGAAGAGUGUUUCAGUGAUAGAUACAUCCAGCUCACCCAAAAGGAUCAAUGCAUGGAACACAAAUCUCUAACAGCUGCAGGCUGGUUGAUAGAUGACAUCGUACUGAUCCCUGCUGGACGUAGUGCGAGAUCAAAGGGUGGAUGUUAGCAGGGAUCAGAACGCAAUUAACGAAAAGCAUAGGGGCGUUUUUGCAAAACUCGAUCUUUCCUAAUCAUAUUUAAUUGACUUACUCUUAGGCUAAUCUUGACAUAUAUUGAAUUAAAUCAAUCCAAAUAAAUAUAUUAGCCUUUACCCUUUGCAUAGUCAAGAAUUGGUGGACAAGUCCAGAUAUUAUAUAUGGUGAUAUAUUUGUGUUCUUUGGGAGAAGCAGGUGAAAUCUGUCAUUGCACACAUGGUUUGGCUUCGCUCCCUUCAGAUCUAUUCAUGCAAUGCCUUUUGACAUAAAAGUACAACAAAUUGGUUAUCAUGCAUUGUAUAGUCCUGAUUGAAGGGUUUUUCUUGCACCUUUGCCCUUGCCCCAUGCGAUUUCUGUCUCUGGUGAGGUCCCAGUAAUUUUUGUUUCAUUGUUCUUAUCCUUAUUCUUAUCCCCUAUCAGGUUUUAUUUAGGCCAAUUGUUUUGGUUUGUGGUUUAGAUGUAUGUUGUUGAUUCGCUUGUGAUUCAUUGUCUCUAUUUUAUUAUGCUCAUGGAUUCCUCCUCUGCUGUUUACUGCUACCCAAUAAUCAAAAUUAUGAUGAUAUGUUGUUUUCUGGUUCAACGUCAUUACAAUAACUAUUUGUUAAUUCAUUUUAUUCAGCUUUGGAAAAAAAGGAAUAAGAUUAGGCUAUGAAUUACUACAAUAGUAAAAGUGAUAGUCCUAUAGUUUUGCUAUUUGGUGCUCUUUUCUUCUUUGCAGUUGGUUAAACAUGCAAGAGAUGAUGCUUAAUUGAGUCCAUGACUCUGGAUGUAUAAUGCCAAAAUAAAUGAUAUAUUGGAUUGCUAGUGCUUUUGCUAGAUUAAUUAUAUAUUGUAUGAUCAUGUCCACCAAAUUAAAAUACCAUAGGCACCAUGAUAAUGGUAUCCAAUACGGGACUAUUCCUAUACUAUUGCGAUAUGCUUGCAACUCAUAUGCAUCAAGCUUCACAGAAGUCGCUGGAUAUCGAUUCUAUUGAACAACUGGUGUUUGCUAAUAAGAUGUAAGCUGAUCUGUGCACCCAUUUGCUCUGCUCUACUCCGUUUCAUUAAGCUCAAGGCAUCAGGCACUGUUGCUAUGACCCCCUUUCCCCAGAGUAAACACGGGUUGGUUGUGUAUAUGCAAUGCUGUGACGUGGUCGUUGUUGAGCUUAAGAUCUAUGUAUACAAUAGAAUGGUUUUUGUCUUUUAGUUUGCCAUAUGAUGUGAAGAUGAAUGAUUUACUGCAAACUGAAGUUAUAUACCUGUAUUAACCUUCAUGAACUGCCUUUGAUGUUGCUAUAAAAUAUUAGCAACAUAUCUUAAUGGUCAACUAUUGGGUAACCGUUGGACGGAAUAAGAUUGUACUACCCUUCUUUG